rnacentral:rRNA from 1 species
AACGAACGCUGGCGGCGGGCUUAACACAUGCAAGUCGAGCGCUCUUCCCUGCUUCGGCGGGGUUGGGAGCGGCGGACGGGUGAGUAACGCGUGGGAACGUGCCCUGGGGUGCGGAACAACAGCUGGAAACGGCUGCUAAUACCGCAUGAUGUCUACGGACCGAAGAUUUAUCGCAAGAUAUUUCGCCCUGGGAUCGGCCC